rnacentral:rRNA from 1 species
CCUACGGGAGACAGCAGUGGGGAAUAUUGCACAAUGGGGGGAACCUUGAUGCAGCAACGCCGCGUGGGUGAAGAAGUACUUCGGUAUGUAAAGCCCUGUCAGCAGGGAAGAAAAUGACGGUACCUGAGUAAGUAGCCCCGGCUAACUACGUGCCAGCAGCCGCGGUAAUACGUAGGGGGCAAGCGUUCUCCGGAUUUACUGGGUGGAAAGGGAGCGUAGACGGCAGUGCAAGUCUGGAGUGAAAGGCGGGGGGUCAACCCCCGGACUGCUCUGGAAACUGUACGGCUAGAGUGCAGGAGAGGUAAGCGGAAUUCCAAGUGUAGCGGUGAAAUGCGUAGAUAUAAGGAGGAACACCAGAGGCGAAGGCGGCUUACUGGACUGUAACUGACGUUGAGGGUCGAAAGCGUGGGGAGCAAACAGGAUUAGAUACCCGAGUAGUC